AUGCACCAAGCCACGGGGCCUCCAGAAGCCUUGCCAGCCCCAGGCUCCCAGAUCCUCCUCCCAACGCGUCCCCAUUUCCCCUGCGAUGUCGCCAGCUUCAUGAUCUCCACCACGAUGGGCGUCACAAUCUCAAGGGAGUGCGUCGAGGCUAUGGUGAUGUUGCUCCCCUUCCUACCGUCGUCACCGUGUUCCGCCACUUGCAGAAGGAAUCCAUGGCACAGGCGAAGAAGCCUCUUGCCAAGGAGGCGGUUCCUACUGCAGCACCGGAUGAGUGAUCCCUCCGUCAUAAGAGGUUCUUCAGUUUCUAUUUUUGCAGAUUUUGUAUUCAGUUUGGAAGUGAACACCCACAAAAUCAUCACAAGGAUUCAUGAACUUAUGUUCAAAUGGAAGGAAUGUGAUUUUCAAUUGCCAUUAACCCGAUCGAUCUCUUGCGUGGUAAAUCUCCAAUCAUCUAAAUCUGGUUCCUCUUCGGACUAUUCUGAUGUUUAUAGAGCCAGAUUUGAUGCAGGGAAAGGGGAGACCAAGGAGGAAAUGGCGACCAAGAAGAGCUUUAGCACCCUGGGUGACAAGUACCUCAGGCCUCCCUCGCCGGUUCACCACCUUCUGUAUGCCUAUAGCUGCUUGAUGUCGGGAGCAACACCACCGGAUGGCCCAACCAUGCCUUCAUCUCAGACCUCGGCAGUAAAUUCCUCUCUUGCUGUUCCGACAACAGAAAUUUCAAAUCUUGUGCGUUUUUAUUUGAUACACCGUGUGUCGAACUACCGAAAACUGAAUUCUAAGUGCUACGAGUGA
rnacentral:rRNA from 1 species